UAUCUCUGUAGAGUCUGCAUAUCAAUAAGCGGAGGAAAAGAAACUAACAAGGAUUCCCUUAGUAACGGCGAGUGAAGCGGGAAGAGCUCAAAUUUGAAAUCUUCAAGGUUUUACCUUGACGAAUUGUAGUUUAAAGAAGUGUUUUCUGUUAGAUGAGUAGCAAAAGUUCCUUGGAAUGGGACAUCAUAGAGGGUGAGAAUCCCGUAUUUGGUUAUUCAUUCUAGCUUUGUGAUACACUUUCAAAGAGUCGGAUUGUUUGGGAAUGCAGUCCAAAAUGGGUGGUAAAUUUCAUCUAAAGCUAAAUAUUGGCGAGAGACCGAUAGCGAACAAGUACCGUGAGGGAAAGAUGAAAAGAACUUUGAAAAGAGAGUUAAACAGUACGUGAAAUUGUCAAAAGGGAAGCGUUUGACACCAGUGUUGUUUUUCCGAAAAUCAAUUACGAAUGGCUUGAUUUUGUGUUGUAUUGACCUUAUCAGCUUUCUUCACUUUUUUCGAGUCUUUCUUAAUGCACUUUUCGGUUAACAAGUCAACAUCAAUUUCUUUUGUUGUAAAAGAGUAUUCGGAAGGUGGCUUUCUUUUCGGAGAAAGUGUUUAUAGCCCUAUACUUCUACAAUCGGAGAGAUUGAGGUCUGCAGCGUAGAUCCUUCGGGGUUAGAUACACUUGUGCUAAGUUGUAGCUUUUCAUAGACAACUUGUUGACUAUGUUUAGUCAUGCGGCUUACUCGCUUAUGCUAUUUUACCUACGCUUAGGAUGUUGACUGAUAUGUAGUCGUA
rnacentral:rRNA from 1 species